rnacentral:rRNA from 1 species
AAUGAACGCUGGCGACAGGCCUAACACAUGCAAGUCGAACGGAUCCUUCGGGAUUAGUGACGGACGGGUGAGUAACGCGUGGGAACAUACCCUUUGGUACGGAAUAGCCUCGGGAAACUGGGAGUAAUACCGUAUGUGGUCGAGAGACGAAAGAUUUAUCGCCAAAGGAUUGGCCCGCGUUGGAUUAGGUAGUUGGUGGGGUAAUGGCCUACCAAGCCGACGAUCCAUAGCUGGUUUGAGAGGAUGAUCAGCCACACUGGGACUGAGACACGGCCCAGACUCCUACGGGAGGCAGCAGUGGGGAAUCUUAGACAAUGGGGGAAACCCUGAUCUAGCCAUGCCGCGUGAUCGAUGAAGGCCUUAGGGUUGUAAAGAUCUUUCAGGUGGGAAAAUAAUGACUGUACCACCAGAAGAAGCCCCGGCUAACUCCGUGCCAGCAGCCGCGGUAA